rnacentral:snRNA from 1 species
ACUCAUACCUUGCAGGGGAAACACCAUGGUCAUGAAAGUGGUUUUCCCAGGGGGAAGGCUCAUCCAUUGCACGUAAGGUGUGCUGCCCCCUAUGAUUUCCCCAAAUGUGGGGAACUCAACUUCAUAAUUUGUGUUAAUGGGGGAUUUGAAUUCUGAGUUCUCUGG